rnacentral:misc_RNA from 1 species
UGGAUGGCGUGGGUUGGCAGGCUCCGUGCUCGUGCAUCGAACUGUCGGCGCGYCGUCCGCUUCAUUCUUUCCCCAAGCGCGGCUUUUGCCUUGAGGGUUUGUUCGGUAUCCUGUGUUGCUUACCCCCGAAACGGAAUUCGUUGGUUUUGUUUUCCUCGUCCGCCUCGUGCCCUUUGGGGUGUGGGGCGGACGCGAGGCAAGCUCCGUGCUCCUGGCGCGCCUUGUGCCGCUGUGGCCCGCGGAGUCUCUGCCCGUGCUCUCGGAUGCGGAAUGCUGCGCAUGGGCGUGAGGCCUCGGCCUUGAUUCGUCCCAGCUACACGCAUUGUCCCUUUACGCGGACGACUGCCGCGCCCGUCUUGGCCRACCGACCGAGGCCCCUGCGCGGGGCCCUUUCUGGGCGGCUCAUGC